rnacentral:rRNA from 1 species
GACGAACGCUGGCGGCGUGCUUAACACAUGCCAGUCGAACGGAAAGGCCCUGCUUUUGUGGGGUGCUCGAGUGGCGAACGGGUGAGUAACACGUGAGUAACCUGCCCUUGACUUUGGGAUAACUUCAGGAAACUGGGGCUAAUACCGGAUAGGAGCUCCUGCUGCAUGGUGGGGGUUGGAAAGUUUCGGCGGUUGGGGAUGGACUCGCGGCUUAUCAGCUUGUUGGUGGGGUAGUGGCUUACCAAGGCUUUGACGGGUAGCCGGCCUGAGAGGGUGACCGGCCACAUUGGGACUGGGAUACGGCCCAGACUCCUACGGGGGGCAGGAGUGGGGAAUAUUGCACAAUGGGCGGAAGCCUGAUGCAGCAACGCCGCGUGGGGGAUGACGGCCUUCGGGUUGUAAACCGCUUUCGCCUGUGACGAAGCGUGAGUGACGGUAAUGGGUAAAGAAGCACCGGCUAACUACGU